rnacentral:misc_RNA from 1 species
UGUGGGAGCGAGCUUGCUCGCGAUGGCGGUCUAGCAGUCAUCCAUUGGUUAACUGAUCGGACGCUAUCGCGAGCAAGCUCGCUCCCACA